AUAGGUCCUCAAUUCCCUGUGGAUUCGAUCCUUUCACCACUACCUGUAGUUGUAAAAUUGUUGAUAACCAGAAAGGUUAUUUUUGAUCGGCUUCGACAACCGCGAGUCAAAAAUUGGCGCCGUUGCCGGGGAAUUGAUUUUACUUGUUUAAUUUUCUUUCAUGACCAGAUCUGAACACAGGGACACACUGCCCUUUGAUCCAGAAAUUGAACGCACUCUCAGAAGACUUAGAAAGCAAGCCGCAAAAGCUUCAUC
rnacentral:lncRNA from 1 species